GCAGAGUUGAGAACCACUGAAUUCUGUUCUGAAAACAUCAGCAAGACCUUUCAUGGAUAUUAUAGGCUUCAGGCUCGAGACAGAGAGGAACCGCCUCUGUGUUUUUCACUGUCGUGUCUCAGUGCUGGGAGUGUACUCCAUGUGGUCAGUGUGUGAUCAAUUUAACUGUGCCUGAGGGUUCUGAGAAGACCUCACAAAUGAAGGUACCUUUGACCAGAGCCACGGAGAGGGGACAAGAGUUUACCCACCAGGCGCUGCAAAGCUGAGGUGGCAGGUCAGGACUUCCAGUGAGAAGGAGGUACUGGUAAAGGAGACUGUUAUUAUGAGCAGCUCCGUCCAGGAGAAGCCAGGGUUCCUGGUCCAAAACAGCACCCUAGGUUCAAAUAGGAAUACCCUGGGGUUGGAGGUGAGGGAAGGGUGGUGGACAGCUCACUCAGCUAUCAGAAGCUGAGGGAUAAGUCCCCUUCCUCCAAUCUGGGCUUUCUUAGCAGCCUUUUGAGCUGGAAUUUGUUUUGUUUUGUUUUGUUUAUGGUGGGACCUACCCACUGUGCAGGGAGGAUCUUAUCAGGUGGCCAAGCUUGUUUUUUGUUUGUUUGUUUUGAGAUGGAGUCUUGCUCUGUUGCCCAAGCUAGAGUACAGUGGUGUGAUCUCGGCUCACUGUAACCUCUGCCUCCUGGGUUCAAGCAAUUCUCCUGCCUUAGCCUCCCACGUAGCUGGGACUACAGGCGUACACCACCAUGCCCAGCUAAUUUUUGUAUUUUUAGUAGAGACGGGGUUUCACCAUGUUGGCCAGGAUGGUCUCGAUCUCCUGACCUCAUGAUCUGCCCAUGUAGGCCUCCCAAUAAGCCUGGUUUUUGGAACAAUACAAAUAAUGAAAAUUUUAAGUACUGACAUUUAUUGAGCUCCUAUUGUACUAUUUUACACACAUCUGGUUUAAGCCACAGCCACUGCACAAGAUUGGCAUUUUUCCCCAUUUCCAGAGGCUGAAACUGAGAUUGAGUUUCAUGUCCAAAGAGUGAGUAACAUGUGUAAAGUCAUGGGGCUAGGAAGUGGUGGAUGGAGUUUCAAACCCAGCUGUGUUUGACCCUGAAGCCAGGGCGCUAAACCACAAUCUUUUUUCUGGCCAGUGUAUCUCACAGGUGAAUCAAUUCACUGGGUUUGGCGCAUUCCCUUGUGGGCUGAGUCACCAUAAGUCAGACUGCCUGAACCUGUUCCUCUCUGGGAGGCUGAUAGAAACCUAAUCUCUAAACUGACAAUGCCAGGGGCAGGACUCUGGACUUUGGUAACCCCAUGAUGGGGUGGCUCCCUACUCUCCCACUCAGAGCUGCAGAUAGCUUUUCUCCAGGACAGCAGGACUCAAGGGUGCUAUGGGGGUUAGUUAUUGCAGACAUCUUGCUUUGCUUUGCUGUAGAGUGGGGUGGCUAAGAGCUUGGGUAGAGGCAGACAGACUGGUUUGAAAUCCAGCCUUUGCACUUCGUAGCUGUGUGACCUUAGCUUGGGCAAGUUUCUUUACCGCUCUGUGCUUCAACUCUCAUCUUUAAAAUGAGGCUGAGAACAGUCUCAUGGUGCUACUGUGAGGAUUACGUGAAAAAACGCGCUUGCACAUAGCAAACCCUCAGCAAUCAUUAGCCUUUAUCAUUGCUGUUGUUGUGACUGGUAUAUAUAUAUAUACUUUUUUUUUUUUUUUGAGUGGAGUUUCACUCUUGUCGCCCAGGCUGGAGUGCAAUGUCGCAAUCUCGGCUCACUGCAACCUCCGCCUCCUGGGUUCAAGUGAUUCUCCUGCCUCAGCCUCCCGAGUAGCUAGGAUUACAGGCAUGCACACCACGCCCGGCUAAUUUUGUAUUUUUAGUAGAGAUGGGGUUUCACCAUGUUGGCCAGGCUGGUCUCAAACUCCUGACCUCAGGUGAUCCACCCGCCUCGGCCUCCCAAAGUGCUGGGAUUACAGGAGUGAGCCACUGCACCCCGCCUGUUGUGAAUAGUCUUAAGGGGAGGCGUAGUGGGAUGUAAUGGGCUGGAGUCCUAGGCCACCACUUUUUAGCCAUGUGACCUUUGAGAUGAACUAUUAAACUUCAUCCCAGAAUCUUUCUAAAUUCUCCAAAGUUAAAGAUGAGAUUUAAUAGCUCAUCUAUUAAAGAUUUCUGGGAUGGCAUUCUUAAAAUUAAGAUUAGCUUCUGUUAAGGAAUUAGAAAACACCAGAGGUAGGGAAUGGUCCCUGUCACAUAUAGACAGCAUUUGCCCUAAACCAUGCUCUGGUCAAGAGGAGGCUGAGGACUUCUGAGCCAUUUGCCUCUCAUCAGAACGUCCUGGGUGUAGUGUCAGAGAGUGGCUGUAUUGGCUUGUCUGAACAGCUAGUGUGUUGCUUUGGUUUGAGCUGAAAGAUUGUUCUAACAAAGGUGCAUGGUGACUAUGGUCAGCAUAGGCGUUAGGAGAGGAGGGGCCGUCUGUGCACACUGUCCUGGGUGUGCCCAUCCUCAGGAGCUCAGCUGUGUAGUGUGUGGCAGCCUGUCCCCCUGACUCCCGCCGGUGAGGUUCACAGAUGGUCAGAGCUCCCAGGUGCGGCUCUAAAGCUCUGGCUCUGCUGCCGUGGCCCCAGGCAACCUGGCUGGCUCAUGGGCUUCAGCUUCUCACAUGUGGAAGAGCACAGAUCAUCCUUCACCCCAGUAUCCCGGUAGCUGACCUCAGACUUUCUGAGUGUGAGUUGACUUGAGUAGCCCUGAGAUGCUGACGUCCUCUGAGUACAUCAACAACAGGGAGUUUCUGGGCUGCAGGCUGAGAACCCGUGUUUGUCACAAGGCGGCCCCACAGAGUUACCACCACUCUAAGGCCCUGCCAGAGCCAGCAACAGAUUAUUCCAGAAGGCACCUGUCUCCCAAUCACCUUCUCUAUCUGGAACAACACCUCCCUCAGGGUUGGGUAAAGUAUUAAAUAUCUGUGCCUUGCAUACACUCACUCAGUGCUCAACAAAUGCUGGUUCUUUCCCAGUUUCUGUAAUCUGUAUGACCUAUCUUGACCAAGAGAUUGUCAUCAUCCUGAGGCCCGGGGCCCAGGCUGCUGUUGCGCUGGCCUCUCUCCCUCACUCUCCAGUAAGCCCUGUCCCAGGCUGGCCUCUCCCUCCGGGGCUGUCUUAUCCACGCUUGGGCUCCAACCACCUUGACCCUUCUCCACCUGUCAGUCACGCCCCAGGUGUUCCCUGAGUCACGCAACAGCUAUAUAGUAGCUCCGCAGACCAACAGCAGGCCGACAGCGUAGCACCUGAGUUCUAGAUCUACCACUGUUCAUGCGGGACCUGGCAUAAAGCAUUCCCACGUCUCGGCCUCCAUUUCCCCAUCUGUGAAACGAGAGCACUGGUCAGCUCUUCACAUGCAGCGUUUGUGGGAUGAAUCCUUCCAUCUGUCCAUCCAUCCCGCCAACAUCCAUGCACAAACAUUUAGCACCUGCUGCAUGCUGUCAGGGACUAUGGCAGGAAAAGAGUUGAAACAGACACGUCCCAGGCCUCCAGCCCCUCACACCACGGAGAGGAAACAGAUGCCCGCAAAGGAGGAGGCACCCCUCAGGGGGCCAGCGCUGCGACACGGUGGAGGCAGGGAGGCCGUCUCUAAGCAGCCUGCGAGUCCCCGCGCUGCACCGUGGCUUUGAGGAGUGGCGGGGGCCGAGGGGCCGGUCUCUCUUCCGGGGGAGAUUCCUCCCCUCACCCCGGCAUUACUCAGCGCCCUGAACUGUCUGCCUCCCUCCAGCCGGCCCUCCUCGUCUUCCUGGAGCGCAGCACAAAGGUCCUGUUGUGGCCGCGGCCCGGGCCGCGGGCGAGCCUCUCUGGAUGGUGGUGACUCAGUCUCUUGCCAUUUCCUUUGUGCGGCUCCGGGGCUCCUCGCUGGGAGCGGAGUGUGUCUGCAGGGCUGGGGGCGGGAGCCGGGACCCACAGCCCGACAGCGAGCCUUUCAUGUGGGCAGGGGGCUUCCCGCACGCAAUGCGAACCUACGCCUGGAGCUUCCCAAAGACAGCGUCCGGCGCAGGAACGCGAGAUGCUGGCCGCCUCGCCUCUGGCCCCCGCGAGCAUCAAAGCGCGUGCCGUCGAGGGGGCACGUGUCCCCCAUCGGGCGCGCCUCUGCUCCUAGUCCCCUGAAUGAACACAUCCUUAUGAAAAGUGGAAAUUAGCCGCCGAAGGGAAGGGCCCGGAGAGCUUGGGAAGCGACCUAGGCUGCCAGCCUCCCGGCGGGUCUUUGGUCCCAGCUCUGAUGACCUGUCAGCAGCCGCAGGACCUGCGCUUAAAGGCGCCUCUCCAGGCCUGGCUCAGGGUGGGGCUCCUCGUGCUCAGCACCCUGGUCAAGGUUAGGGCUGGGUGUGCGCUGGAGGCUUGGAGUGCCAGGGCACCCAGUGAAGAGCGAAUGAAUGAACGAGUGAACACCGGACUGGGGGCCUGCAGACGGUUCUUCGCAGGUUAAUUAGAAGGCCUCUAGCAAGCUGCAGCGGAGGCAUUUCAGGCAUCCUUCAGAGAGGACCCUCGGCCUGGCUCCUAAGGGCCCCUGGUCUGGCUCUCACCCCCUGCUCUGGUGGCAUUUCUGCUCACUCAGCCUUUACCCUUUACACGCCAGCCGCUCUGAACAGUUUAUUCUUCUGGGAGCACAUCAUGUUCUUGCUCACAUCCAGGUUUUGCGUAAGCUGUUCCUGCUGCAAGGAAAACCCUUCCUGUGUCCUCCUCAGGCAACUCCUGUGCAUCUGUAGGUACCAUUGUGAGGUUACUGCCCUGGACUGGGGAGAGAUCCACACACGCAAGAGUGCAUCUGGCAUCAGUAUGUAAGAGUCAAAACUGACACACAGUUCUUCAUCUCAUGGAAAUGAAAACAUGCAUGGCCGGAAUGAUCUUAUACCUGCUUCUCUUGGGCCAGGUCACCAGGCUGGCCCUGAGAAGUAUGUGAUGGCAUGGAGAAGAAUCCUCACACAUCCUUGCAGUUCUCUAGGAUUUGCAAGGCAUUCCCCCCAUUGCUGGACUCACUGGAUUUGAGUAGGCCUGUCUGCCCCUAUUUUAGAGAUGAGCAUAUACACCUUACAAAAACUGAGUCUUGCUCAAUGUCUGGCAAAGAAGUCUUCCUUUAUCCAACAAUCCUGAGAGUCUAGCGGGUGUUGGGCACCAUAAAGAUGAAUGAGGUGCGGUUCUUGCCACCAGGCAGUGCCCGGGCUUGUCAGGGAGACCCAUGUGGAGCAUGACAAUUGCUACCUUCUUGAUACGGGCAAAAGGAUGUUGAGUCCAGUGGAAGGAGAGGCUUGUCUGGCUGUGAGAUCAGCAAAGUCUUCACAGAAAAGGAGAAUUUUAAAUGGGGCCUUGAAGGGGAAGUGUCUCCUGGAGAUGGAGAGAACAUAGCGAGGAGAGUGCGGUGAGGUGGGGGGUGGCAGGGGAAGCACAUCACUACGCGGUGCUUAGGGCCGAGUCUGAGCCAACCUGGGAGUGGCACUCAGCUCCCCCAGGCCCCCGAGAUGCAUGUUCAGCAGCAUCCAGCGGCCUCCUGUGAAGCGACUGGGAGUCCACAGAGACAACAAAAGCAGAUGUAGUGAUGUGUAAACUUGAAGUUUCUAGAAGUUCCUUUGGGCCCCACCAAAUCUCUGUGGCAAUGAACCAAUCCCACAUGUUCCUGUGGGUAAUGCUCCCAGAGGGCAUGUGACUUUGGGCAUCAUUAUUGGCUGAAAAAGGAAACUGGGGUAGUAGUUAGAGAGUGCUAUGAACUGAAUGUUGUGUGCCUCCCAAAUCUGUACACUGAACUCCAAAUCCCACUGUGGUGGUAUUAGGUGAGGGGGCCUUGGGAGGUCAUUAGGUCCUGAGGGUAAAUCCCUCAUGAAUGGGAUGAGUGCCCUCACACAUGAGACCCCAGAGAGCUCUCUGGCGGUCUUUCUACCAUGUAUGGCUGCAAUGAGAGGUCUGCAGCCUGCACCUGGAAGGAGGCCCUCAAUGAACCUGACCAGACUAGCAUCCUGUUCUCAGACUUCUGGCCUCCCAAACUGUGAGAAACAAGUUUCUGUUGUGUAUAAACCAUCCAAUCUAUGAUAGUUUGUUAUAGUAGCCAAACCGACUAGGACAGAGAGGAUGUAAGGAGCCAGUGGAGGACUCUUUUAAUGGAGAGACUACAGCAUGUCUCAGGCUGAAUGGUCCAGUAGGGAGAGCAAAAACAGUGCCCAUGCAUCACCCUGAGGUCUCACCCAACCCUGCUGGAACUGACUUUAGUGCCCUCUUCCAGUGUUCCCCGCAUGACCUGGUGGGUGCACACCUGGCUGCUUGCAUUCACACCGUCCCUCUCCACUUCUUCCUUCUCCCCAGCUCUCUUCCUGUCAACCCUGGCAUUGCCUUUGUUGGCUACUGAGAGAAGACCAGAAAUAUCCAUCUAGUCAGACUUGCCUGCUCCUGGGAAGAAAACAAAAAUGCAAAGAAAAGGUUCUCAGGGAGAUUGAGCCAACCUGGGAGUGGCCCUCAGCUCCUCCAGUCCCCAGAGACCCAUGCUCUGCAGCAUCCAAGGGGCUCCUGUGAAACUGUUGGGAGGCCAAUGACACUCUGUCCCACGUUGUGGAUCUAUUUUGUGGUCUCUGUAUCCUUCACUGCUUUUUGUGGACAUUAUUGUAUUAGAUUCCUUUGGAAAUGAUGAUCCAGCUAAUGGCCAGUUAGUAGGAAACAUCACGACCCUCCCCCCAAAUUCCAGCCUCUUGCUGAAAGGGUGGGGCCUGGGAAAUCAUAUGGUAUUGCUCCUGGUCACCACAGACCAGUGGUGGCUUUGGGCCAAAUUCUGGCCCAGCCAAUCCCCCCCACCUUUUUUUUUUUUUGAGAGAGAGAAUUUGAGGUAAGAGACACAGAGACUCAGGUUAGGAGGAUGCUUGAACUGAAAGGUCCUGAGACAGCAGGACAGGAGCUAGUACCAUGCAGAACACAGCAGGAGCCACAGGCAAGCCUGAACUGUGGGAGAGAGAAAACGAAGGGCCUUCCAGAGAGGUCCAGUCUGCCAAGAGGAGAAGAGAGUUGACACGCAGAAAGAGUUAGGGGUGACAAGAACCCCCGUAGCCCCUUGAAGGACACAGAGAGGAGAUCUUUUUUGUUCUUUUGUGAUUCAUCCUUUCUCACUUCCUGUCCUUGGAGGUCAACAACAGACCCCUGUAUCCUUUUAAUAAUCCCUCUUUUCAUUUGAAAUUGUUCCAGAGGGUACCUGAUCCUUGUUGCCAGCAUGCCCUGAAUAAGAAAAAUGCUCAAACCAAACACUGAGUCUACUGAGUCUAUGUGAAUUAAUUCUUGGAAUUCCUUGGCUCAAUUCAAUAAACAUUUCAUGCACAAUUUUUGUGUGCCAGGUGCUAGAGGCAUUCUGAGAAAAACUGAGACCCAGGAGCUGUCCUCAGAGAGUCCAGUAAGAUGUGGUCUGAUAAGACAUGUUUCCAUAUACCCAGAAUACAAGGUAGUUUGCUAGGAGCACUGCAAGAGAAACGCAGAUGGAAGGCUGGAGUGUGUACUGCCACUGUGGAAGCAGGAGGGGCUUGAGGGAAGAGGGCCUUCAAGAAUGGGUGGAAUCUAAUAUUGGAAAGGGGAGGAAGAGUGGAAAGUAUAAGAAUCAGAAGUCUGGUUGCAGGAUGGGGCAUGAUAUGGGUGGGACACUGUAAACUGCACAGCGUGGAAGGAAUAUGGAGUUUAGAGGAAUAAUGUUAGAUGAGUCUGUAAGACGGGCUUGACUGGGAUUAUGAAGGGCCUUAAAGGUCAAGCCAAAUUUGUUAUCAUAGAAUCAUAAGAAGGAGAAGAGCCUUAGCUGUUGUCUAGUCUAACUUAGGUAAUUUGGUUCCAGUUCCUCUUAAGGUGGCCACCAUGACAGACUGAAUCUCAAGUACUCAUCUGAGAUACAGUCAUUUCAAUGGUAGUGACUCAGAAUUUACUUUUCUUUUUUUUUACCCCAGCAAAAUAUUUAUUUUAGAAAAUAGGAUUAUAUUAUUUGUUGCUCUCCAACUUGCUUUUUUUGGACAUCUUGGACAUCUUUCUCUACCAGUACAUAUAGUUCCAUUUCCUUCUUUUUAUUUUAUUUACUUUAUUAUUUUUGUAGAGAUGAGGUCUUGCCAUGUUGCCUAGGCUGGUCUGGAACUCCUGGGCUCAAGAGAUCCACUCACCUUGGCCUCCCAAAGUGCUAGGAUUACAGGCGUGAGCCACUGCAGAUAUUUUUAUUUUUUAUUUUCAUUUAUUUCAAUAGUUUUUGGGGAGCACGUGGUUAUUUGAUUACAUGGAUAAGUUCUUUAGUGGUGAUUACCGAGAUUUUGGUGCACCCAUCACCCAAGCAGUGUACACUGUACCCAAUGAGUAGUCUUUUAUCCCUCGUCCUCCUUCCCCGCUCCCCUCACGUCCCCAAAGUACAUUGUAUCUUAUGCCUUUGCAUCCUCAUGAGAUUACUUUUCUAUCUUUAACAACUUAAGAGUUCUUUCCAGAAGAGUCCUCUUACUACGAGGAAGAGUGUUAGAGCACAGGGAACUGGGCCUAGAGAGUCUGCAGCAAAUUGUCUCAAAUAGCAGCUUAAAAAGGUAAGGAACAGAAAAGAAACACUCUCUAUCUAUGUGCUGGCCUCAGGCACAGUGCUUCUAGAUGGUAGAACAUCUGUGAAGUAGAAAUUACAAUCACUUUUCAGGUGAGAAAACAGGAGCUGUAGGGAGGAGUCGGACAGGUCCCCAGGCCCAGCAACUAUACCAGGUGAGGCAGGAAUGUGGCCUCGUGUUGACCAGAUUCCACAGCCACGGGCUUCCAUCCCUCUUCUCUGCUUGCUUUAAGACUAACCACCCUGGCUUCAA
rnacentral:lncRNA from 10 species